rnacentral:rRNA from 1 species
UCCCAGGGAUGGUCGCAGAGAUGUGACCCUCUCUUCGGAGCCUGGAGCACAGGUGCUGCAUGGCUGUCGUCAGCUCGUGUCGUGAGAUGUUGGGUUAAGUCCCGCAACGAGCGCAACCCCCGUCCUUAGUUGCUACCAUUUAGUUGAGCACUCUAAGGAGACUGCCGGUGAUAAGCCGCGAGGAAGGUGGGGAUGACGUCAAGUCCUCAUGGCCCUUACGGGCUGGGCUACACACGUGCUACAAUGGCGGUGACAAUGGGAUGCUAAGGGGCGACCCUUCGCAAAUCUCAAAAAGCCGUCUCAGUUCGGAUUGGGCUCUGCAACUCGAGCCCAUGAAGUUGGAAUCGCUAGUAAUCGUGGAUCAGCACGCCACGGUGAAUACGUUCCCGGGUNUGGAACCCCCACCCGA